CUGAGUUUGUGACAUAGAGAAAAGAGACUGCGAGAGAGGUCAGACAGAGGGAGAAAGAAGCAGACAGAGGGGGAGAAAGAGAAAGACAGACAAGAGGGAGUGAGAGUCAGACAGUGUGUGAGAGAGCGAGCGAGAGAGAGAGAGAGAGAGAGACUGAAAGGACCUGGGGAGAAAUGGCUUACAGUUUCCAUGCCAACCAGUACGAAAACACCUACAACACCACCCGCAUGUCCAACUGGACGGUACCCAAAGCCAAGGAGAACACAGCCAAGCUGCCAAAACUUCAGGAAGGAGCCACCUGCUUUAUCGCCAAUGACCGAGGUUACCUGAACCCAGGGGUCCCGAGGUCAAAGGUGAGAGUG